AUUCCAGCUCCAAUAGCGUAUACUAAAGUUGUUGCAGUUAAAAAGCUCGUAGUUGAAUUUCUGGUCGUGGCGACCGGUCCGCCCCUCACGGGGUGUGCACCUGGUCUCUGCGUCCAUCCUCGGGGAGAGCGUAUCUGGCAUUCAGUUGUCGGGUGCGGGAUCCUCGUCAUUUACUGUGAGCAAAAUAGAGUGUUCAAAGCAGGCUUAGGCCGUUGAAUACAUUAGCAUGGAAUAAUAAGAUAGGACCUUGGUCUAUUUUGUUGGUUUGCAUUCCAAGGUAAUGAUUAAUAGGGAUAGUUGGGGGUAUUCGUAUUCAAUUGUCAGAGGUGAAAUUCUUGGAUUUAUGGAAGACGAACUACUGCGAAAGCAUUUACCAAGGAUGUUUUCAUUG
rnacentral:rRNA from 1 species